UUCUUAAAGAAACAUAUUAUUUUAAGUAAAACCUGCUCCAUGGAAUAUAAAUAGCCGCAGAAAAUUUACUGUGCUAAGGUAGCAUAAUCAUUAGUCUUUUAAUUAAAGACUAGAAUGAAAGGUUUAACAUUUCAAUUACUUUUUCUAUAUAACCUAUAAAAAUUGUACUAAGGAUAAAAAUAUCCCUAUAUAUUAGACAGACGACAAGACCCUAUCAAACUUAACUUAAGUUUAGCUGGGGCAGCUAACUAAUACUUAUUUUAGUCCCUAUAUUUACCUAAUUAAACCCAACAUAGUUGCAAAGACCAAGUUACUGUAGGGAUAACAGCGCAAUUUCAUUUUUAAGUUCUUAUUUAAAAUGAAGAUUACGACCUCGAUGUUGAAUAAUUUAACUUAUUAACGCAAUAGCUAAUAAAGUAAGUCUGUUCGACUUUUAAAAAAUUACA
rnacentral:rRNA from 1 species